rnacentral:rRNA from 1 species
UACGAAGGGGGCUAGCGUUGUUCGGAAUUACUGGGCGUGAAGGGCGCGUAGGCGGCCUUCUAAGUCGGACGUGAAAGCCCCAGGCUUAACCUGGGAACUGCGUCCGAUACUGGGAGGCUUGGAUUCGGGAGAGGGAUGUGGAAUUCCAGGUGUAGCGGUGAAAUGCGUAGAUAUCUGGAGGAACACCGGUGGCGAAGGCGGCAUCCUGGACCGAGAUCGACGCUGAGGCGCGAAAGCUAGGGGAGCAAACGGG